rnacentral:rRNA from 1 species
UACGUAGGGACCAAGCGUUGUUCGGCUUUACUGGGCGUAAAGGGCGCGUAGGCGGCGUGGUAAGUCACUUGUGAAAUCUCUGAGCUUAACUCAGAACGGCCAAGUGAUACUGCUGUGCUAGAGUGCAGAAGGGGCAAUCGGAAUUCUUGGUGUAGCGGUGAAAUGCGUAGAUAUCAAGAGGAACACCUGAGGUGAAGACGGGUCGCUGGGCUGACACUGACGCUGAGGCGCGAAAGCCAGGGGAGCAAACGGG